UUGGACUGAUAGCUCAGUUGGUAGAGCAUAAGACUCUUAAUCUUAGGGUCAAGGGUUCGAGUCCCACAUUGAGCAAA